CUUCUUCGCAAGAAAACUUUCCAGUUGGCUAGCUACAACUGUGCUCUCAAUAAUUGUCCUCAGGAGGAAAUUUUACAUCAUCUCUUCUGGACCUGCCCUUUUGCAGCUCAAUGUUGGGAUAUUAUUUGUCCUUCCAGGCAACUUAAUGUGUCUGUGCUUGAAGCCUUUGAGGAUCUCAGGUUCAAACUUAAUGUUCCAUUCUUCAUGGAAAUCAUCAUUCUAGCUUCUUGGGCCAUAUGGAUAUCAAGAAAUAAUCUGAUCUUUCAAGCCAUUCAGCCUUCCAUUCAGAGGUGGAAAGUCAUUUUCCUUGAUGAGCUUAAUCUUCUGAGAUAUAGAGUGAAAAAGAGCUAUGCCAGAGCUUUCUGUACUUGGCUUGAUAACCUUGUACUGUAA
rnacentral:rRNA from 1 species